CUAUUGCUAUCCGCUUUCGUCCGUCGUCUUGCGUCGUCCUUCAUGCGUCGUGCGUCGUCCGUCGUGUGUUAACAUUUGAAUAUUUUCAGCUUCUUCUCUGCAACCACUCAAGCAAUUUCAACCAAAUUUGGCAUAAAGCAUCUAUGGAUGAAGGGAAACAAAAAUUGUGAUUUUCAUGCCCCCUGCCCCCCUGGGGCCUGACGGGUGGGGCCAAAAUCUUUAAAAUUAAUGCAAUCUUUAAAAAUCUUCUUCUUUACUCCUGGACAUCAAGCAGUCAAACUGUUUGCAUGAUUGUAUUUAGCAUUGAGUCCUCUACCAAAAUUUGAAAUUCAUGGCCCUGUGGUCAGGGGUUCUAGUGCUAGGGUGGGGCUAUAUAGAUUAUGUAGUGAAAAUGUAUUAUUUCUUUGAAAAUCUUCUUCUCUGCUCCUGGGCAUAAGAUAAACAAACCAAGUACAUAGUUUUGUUGAAUAAGGCAGCCUUUUUCAAAAUUGUGAAUUUCAUGGCCCUGGGGUCAUGGGUUUUUAGGUGCUAGGGUGGAACUAUAUAGAUUAUAUAGUAAAAAUGCAUUAUUUCUUUGAAAACUUCUUCUCUGCUAAUGGGUAUUUAAUAAACAAACCAAAUACAUAGUUAUGUUGAAUAAUGCUGUCUCUUCCAAAUUUGUGAAUUUCAUGGCCCCUGCCCCCCUGGGGCCUGAGGGGUGGGGCCAAAAUCACUAGACUUAAAUGCAAUCUUUAAAAAUCUACUUCUUUACUCUUGAACAUCAAGCAGUCAAACUGUUUGCAUGAUUGUAAUCAGCAUUGAGUCCUCUAACAAAUUUGUGAAAUUCAUGGCCCUGGGGUCAGGGGUUCUUAGGUGCUAGGGCGGGGCUAUAUAGUGAAAAAGCAUUAUUUCUUUGAAAAUCUUCUUCUCUGCUCUGGGUAUUUAAU